rnacentral:rRNA from 1 species
GAUGAACGCUAGCGGCAGGCUUAAUACAUGCAAGUCGUGGGGCAGCAGGUUUGUAGCAAUACAGAUGCUGGCGACCGGCAAACGGGUGCGGAACACGUACAGAACCUUCCUUUGAGCGGGGAAUAGCCCAGAGAAAUUUGGAUUAAUACCCCAUAGUAUAAUGAAGUGGCAUCACUUUAUUAUUAAGAUUUAUCACUCGAAGAUGGCUGUGCGGCUGAUUAGGUAGUUGGCGGGGUAAAGGCCCACCAAGCCUGCGAUCAGUAACUGGUGUGAGAGCACGACCAGUCACACGGGCACUGAGACACGGGCCCGACUCCUACGGGAGGCAGCAGUAAGGAUAUUGGUCAAUGGAGGCAACUCUGAACCAGCCAUGCCGCGUGGAGGAUGAAGGUCCUCUGGAUUGUAAACUUCUUUAUAU